UACGAAGGGGGCGAGCGUUGUUCGGAUUUACUGGGCGUAAAGGGCGCGCAGGCGGCUCAUUUUGUCAGGCGUGAAAGCCCCGGGCUUAACCUGGGAACUGCGUUUGAUACGGAUGGGCUAGAGUUCGGGAGAGGAGAGUGGAAUUCCCAGUGUAGAGGUGAAAUUCGUAGAUAUUCGCAAGAACACCAGUGGCGAAGGCGGCUUACUGGUCCGGUUCUGACGCUGAGGCGCGAAAGCUAGGGGAGCAAACGGG
rnacentral:rRNA from 1 species